UAUUUUUAUUUCUAUAACAAUAUAGAAAGAUCAAUAAAAUAUAAUUUAUUCAGUUAUAAAAACAUAAUUACAAAAGGAGACACUUGAGCUGUCUUUCAAAUGUCAGAGCUUAACAAAAACCACAUAACAGAAGUACUAACAUCAAAAAGUCUAAUAAUGAAAGUAAUUUGCAACAUAAAAAUAAUUUAAGUAUUAGUAAUCUGUAUUUAUAGUAGUAAUGUUAUUUAGAAGUAAUUAGUAACAUCAGAAGAAAGAUGUAAUAGUUACAUGUACAAUAAAAGAAGUUUGCAAUAGUUGAAUGUACUUUCCAUCACUAAAAGUUAUCUGUAAAUUUAGAAAUAUGUAAUAUAAAAGUAAUGGUUAGAGUAAUCUAAUAUCCAAGGUUACACUAAAAGUAAUCAGCAAUAUAGAAGUGAUUCAGAAGUAAAAGUAAAAGGCUUCAAAAACUGUCAAAAAUGUAAAUGUAUAGUAAGGCUUCAAAACUCAAAAAUGUAAAUGUAUAGUAAGGCGUCAAAAAAUGUCAUAGUAUAGUAAGGCUUCAAAAAUUGUCAAAAAAUGUCAUAGUAUAGUAAGGCUUCAAAAAAUGUCAUAGUAUAGUAAGGCUUCAAAAAUGUCAUAGUAUAAUAAGGCUUCAAAAAAAUGUCAUAGUAUAGUAAGGCUUCAAAAAAAUGUCAUAUUAUAGUAAGGCUUCAAAAAAUGUCAAAAAAUGUCAUAGUAUAGUAAGGCUUCAAAAAAUGUCAUAGUAUAGUAAGGCCAUUCAAAAAAUGUCAUAGUAUAGUAAGGCUUCAAAAAUUGUCAAAAAAUGUCAUAGUAUAGUAAGGCUUCAAAAAAAUGUCAUAGUAUAGUAAGGCUUCAAAAAAUGUCA